AGAGAUGAGAGGGCAUGUGGCAGGGCGUGUCUAAGGAUGGGGGAGCAGGGAGCGGGCUUUAGGUCCUUCAGCAGAAGAACUAACUAAUCAGUGUGACUCCACCUCUCACCUGCUAUCUUGGUGACUUCCUGGAGGAAGGAGGAUCAAGAAUGUGCACAGAAGGCAGAAAGCUUCCCUUGCGCACUGCCUGAGUAAAGACUCUAAGGAGGAUGGAGGGACAAUAAAUAGCAAGUACCAGGAUUACAGGUCCGUGUCACCACGCCUGACAGUGAACAAGUGUUUCAAGCAGAGGAAAUAGGAAGAACGAUGAACCUGGAUGCAGAGAGCGGUGCACGCUGAGAGGACAGAGCACGGCUGGUUGCGGGUGGAGAGGCAGUGAAGGACACAUGGCGAAUGUAGAAGCAGACAGACCCUGGUGCCGUUCAGAAGUCAAUCUCAUGCCUACAGAAGCUGGCAAGUUGCCUCUCAUUCACCCACCUCCGUCCUCAACGCUAGGCAGACAUCUUCGCUCCCUCGUGUUCCACAUUCAGUCCUUCACGAUGGCCUGUCUACUCCAUCUCCUUAAAUAGCACUUCAAUCCCUUCUCGUCCUCCUAUCACUGCUUUCCUGGUCUAGGCCUCUAUCAUCGCUCAACCACAUGUAUGUUGAAUAUCCCCUCCACGACUUAGAUAAAGUCUCACGUCAAAAUCCAAACCAUUUAGCCCGGUCCACAGCCCCUCCACCCCCACCCCUGCAAACAUGCCCCUGGCCACACG